GUCUACGGCCAUGCUACCCUGAACAAGCCUGAUUUUGUCUGAUCUCGGAAGCUAAGCAGGGUUGGGCCUGGUUAGUACUUGGAUGGGAGACCACCUAGGAAUACCAGGUGCUAUAGGAG
rnacentral:rRNA from 1 species